rnacentral:lncRNA from 1 species
UUACUGUUAGUUGGGCUUUUAAUUCAGUCCGUGAGAUAUUUUUUAAUGGCUUUUAAUACAUCAAAACAUUUACUGUUAGGUUAUACGGUUAUACAGGUAUUACCCGCAGUUAUAACGAGUCGAUGAUAUUUUGUCAUUGAAUGUGUUCGAAAGUGUUUAGUUUCGGAAUAUUUUGGAGCUUUGAAUCAUCUAGUAUUCAAGAUAAUGACUACUUUUUGUUUUUAGAAGCUUUACUUUGUAAUCAUAGGGAUUAUAAUUAAAGACUUACUUGGGUGUAGCAGAAAAAUAUCGUUCGUAAACUAUUAUUUCAAUUUAUUGGAAUUGUAUGAAGACUUAAAUGAUUAAAAUAAGGAAAUGCAUGCUAAAAUUUACCUAUAACGGUGUUUAAUUUUCAAAAAACGAAAAUUAUGACAAAUUUUUCUUUUGUAAUUUUCAAGUUAUUAAAAAAACAUGUAGACGGGUGAAAAAUGGGUAAAAUGGGUAAAAAAAGGAUAAACGGGUUAAAAAACGAGUAAACGGGUAAAUGGUUAUAGGUAGGCCUGGCAAUUCCUAACACGACCCGAUAACCCGACACGACACGACAUGAAAUUAACAGG